GACGAACGCUGGCGGCGUGCUUAACACAUGCAAGUCGAACGGAAAGGCCCUGCUUUUGUGGGGUGCUCGAGUGGCGAACGGGUGAGUAACACGUGAGUAACCUGCCCUUGACUUUGGGAUAACUUCGGGAAACUGGGGCUAAUACCGGAUAGGAGCUCCUGCUGCAUGGUGGGGGUUGGAAAGUUUCGGCGGUUGGGGAUGGACUCGCGGCUUAUCAGCUUGUUGGUGGGGUAGUGGCUUACCAAGGCUUUGACGGGUAGCCGGCCUGAGAGGGUGACCGGCCACAUUGGGACUGAGAUACGGCCCAGACUCCUACGGGAGGCAGCAGUGGGGAAUAUUGCACAAUGGGCGGAAGCCUGAUGCAGCAACGCCGCGUGCGGGAUGACGGCCUUCGGGUUGUAAACCGCUUUCGCCUGUGACGAAGCGUGAGUGACGGUAAUGGGUAAAGAAGCACCGGCUAACUACGUGCCAGCAGCCGCGGUGAUACGUAGGGUGCGAGCGUUGUCCGGAUUUAUUGGGCGUAAAGGGCUCGUAGGUGGUUGAUCGCGUCGGAAGUGUAAUCUUGGGGCUUAACCCUGAGCGUGCUUUCGAUACGGGUUGACUUGAGGAAGGUAGGGGAGAAUGGAAUUCCUGGUGGAGCGGUGGAAUGCGCAGAUAUCAGGAGGAACACCAGUGGCGAAGGCGGUUCUCUGGGCCUUUCCUGACGCUGAGGAGCGAAAGCGUGGGGAGCGAACAGGCUUAGAUACCCUGGUAGCCCACGCUGUAAACGGUGGGUACUAGGUGUGGGGUCCAUUCCACGGGUUCCGUGCCGUAGCUAACGCUUUAAGUACCCCGCCUGGGGAGUACGGCCGCAAGGCUAAAACUCAAAGGAAUUGACGGGGCCCCGCACAAGCGGCGGAGCAUGCGGAUUAAUUCGAUGCAACGCGUAGAACCUUACCUGGGUUUGACAUGGAUCGGGAGCGCUCAGAGAUGGGUGUGCCUCUUUUGGGGUCGGUUCACAGGUGGUGCAUGGCUGUCGUCAGCUCGUGUCGUGAGAUGUUGGGUUAAGUCCCGCAACGAGCGCAACCCUUGUUCACUGUUGCCAGCACGUUAUGGCGGGGACUCAGUGGAGACCGCCGGGGUCAACUCGGAGGAAGGUGGGGAUGACGUCAAGUCAUCAUGCCCCUUAUGUCCAGGGCUUCACGCAUGCUACAAUGGCUGGUACAGAGAGUGGCGAGCCUGUGAGGGUGAGCGAAUCUCGGAAAGCCGGUCUCAGUUCGGAUUGGGGUCUGCAACUCGACCUCAUGAAGUCGGAGUCGCUAGUAAUCGCAGAUCAGCAACGCUGCGGUGAAUACGUUCCCGGG
rnacentral:rRNA from 1 species